ensembl:lncRNA
UUCUGAGUUUGUACUCUAUGGGUGGAAUGCACUUAUUGUAAGUCGCUUUGGAUAAAAGCGUCAGCUAAAUGAAAUGUAAUGUAAUGUAAAAAGUACUUACACAGAGACGCCUAACAUAUUGGUAUGCACAGAGACUAGCUAAACAUAAAAAGCAAAUACAGAAAUACAGUUUAACAACCACAAAUAUAUAAUGUAGAUUUACACAUCCAUACAAACAUGAAAUAAUUAAAAUGUGCAUCAAAUUAAAAUAAUUGGAUCUAUGAAUCUUGUCUCACAUCCUGAUGAUCCUCCUCACGUCUCUUCUCCUUGUCUGCAGACCAACGGGACGCCAUCAGGACGCCAUCAGGACGCCACGUCAACGGGACGCCAUCAGGACGCCACGUCAACGGGACGCCAUCAGGACCUCACGUCAACCCCUCAGGAGCAAAUCCAGAUCUACGCAUGACACACACACACACACCCCCACACACACACACACAGAUACACACUAACAUUUGGUUCUAAACAAAGACACACACUAAUAUUUAGAUGUACACAAAGACACAUUAAUAUUUAGAUGUACACACAGACACACUAACAAUUAGAUGUACACACAUACACACUAUCAUUUGGUUCUAAACAAAGACACACACUAAUAUUUAGAUGUACACAAAGACAUAUUAAUAUUUAGAUGUACAAACAGACACACUAACAUUUAGAUGUACACACAGACACACUAACAAUUAGAUGUACACACAGACACACUAACAUUUGGUUCUACACAAAGACACACACUGACAUUUAGAUGUACACAAAGACACAAUAACAAUUAGAUGUACACACAGACACAUUAGUAUUCAGAAUUACACAAAAACACACAAACAUCUGGUUCUGCACAAAAACACAUUAAUAUUUAAAUGUACCCACGGACCCACUAACAAUUAGAUCCACACACAGACACACUAACAAUUAGAUGUACACACGGACACAUCCUGAUGAUCCUCCUCACGUCUCUUCUCCUUGUCUGCAGACCAACAGGACGCCAUCAGGACGCCACGUCAUCGGGACGCUACGUCAUCGGGACACACUAACAAUUAGAUGUACACACAGACACACUAACAUUUGGUUCUAAACAAAGACACACUAACAUUUAGAUGUACAAAAAGACACACACUAAUAUUUAGAUGUACACAAAGACACACACUAAUAUUUAGAUGUACACAAAGACACACUAACAAUUAGAUGUACACACAGACACACUAACAACAUUAAUAUGUAAAUAACUUUUCUUCUUUUCUCUCUUCUCAGGAACUGCUUCAGAUGUUUUCCCAAUGAUUGUGUUAUUAUAAUUGUUAAAUAUGUCGUCUGUUUAUUAUUUUAACAAUGAAAAUAAAUUUUAAUAAAAAUAAAACCAAAUGAAUCCGUCUUGUUUUCUUCAGACCAAAGAGAAUCACAUGUUCUUUAUUACUCGUUGACUUGAAUGAAGUGAAACAACAAUGAUCUUGAGUUAAUGAGCGUUUGUGUAUUUAAUGACACACAAAGGUUUCAGUCGACAUUUUAAGCAUGAUUUCAAUUGUUGACUCACUUCCUCCUGUAAUCAGACAUCAGGCGGGAGGAUGAGAGAAUAUUUAGUCAAUGAACAUGUUUCCGAUAGGGAACAUUUUGAUUAAAACAUGAAUGCUUCUAAAAAAUGAAGUCAGGCAACUCAAAGCACAAACAAGUUCAAUUCUCUACAAAUAAAGCAAAUUCAAACCCCAAGUUCAUCGGGACGUGUGAGCGUCUCUAAUGACGCAGUCAAGUGCAACU